rnacentral:rRNA from 1 species
GACGAACGCUGGCGGCGUGCUUAACACAUGCAAGUCGAACGGAAAGGCCCUGCUUUUGUGGGGUGCCCGAGUGGCGAACGGGUGAGUAACACGUGAGUAACCUGCCCUUGACUUUGGGAUAACUUCAGGAAACUGGGGCUAAUACCGGAUAGGAGCUCCUGCUGCAUGGUGGGGGUUGGAAAGUUUCGGCGGUUGGGGAUGGACUCGCGGCUUAUCAGCUUGUUGGUGGGGUAGUGGCUUACCACGGCUUUGACGGGUAGCCGGCCUGAGAGGGUGACCGGCCACAUUGGGACUGAGCUACGGCCCAGACUCCUACGGGAGGCAGCAGUGGGGAAUAUUGCACAAUGGGCGGAAGCCUGAUGCAGCAACGCCGCGUGCGGGAUGACGGCCUUCGGGUUGUAAACCGCUUUCGCCUGUGACGAAGCGUGAGUGACGGUAAUGGGUAAAGAAGCACCGGCUAACUACGUG